UCCGCUCACUGGACUUUAGAACUGCCAAUCCUUCGAAGGCAGCAUUGGGAAAUAUGGACAAUGAGGGUAACCUGGAAUCCAGCCACUGCCGCGGGUGGAAAGAAGGCCUAAGGUGUAAAGCACUUAAGCAAGGAAGGAGCCUUUUAGGUUAAUACGCCAAGAUUGAGUUGACGUCACUCGCAGAAUAAAGCCCCCGGCUAACCUCUGUGGCCAGCAGCCGCCGUAUACAAGAGGGGUGCAAGCGUUAAUCGGAUUUACUGGGCUUUAAAGGGCGGCGUAAGCCGGCCCAAUUAAGUCAAUUGUGAAAUCCCCCGAGCUUAACUUGGGAAAUUGCAUUCGAUACUGUUUGCUAGAAGUGUGGGGAGAGGAUGGGUAGAAUUCCAGGUGUAGCGGUGAAAUGGCGUAGAAGAUCUGGAGGAAUACCGAUGGCGAAAGGCAGCCAUCUGGGCUAACACUGACGCUGAGUGCGAAAGCAUGGGGAGCAAACAAGAUUAGAUACCCUGGUAGUCCAUGCCGUAAACGAUGUCUACUAGCCGUUGGGGCCUUGAGGCUUUAGUGGCGCAGCUAACGCGAUAAGUAGACCGCCUGGGGAGUACGGUCGCAAGACUAAAACUCAAAUGAAUUGACGGGGGCCCGCACAAGCGGUGGAGCAUGUGGUUUAAUUCGAUGCAACGCGAAGAACCUUACCUGGCCUUGACAUAGUAGAAACUUUCCAGAGAUGGAUUGGUGCCUUCGGGAAUCUACAUACAGGUGCUGCAUGGCCGUCGUCAGCUCGUGUCGUGAGAUGUUGGGUUAAGUCCCGCAACGAGCGCAACCCUUUUCCUUACUUGCCAGCAUUUCGGAUGGGAACUUUAAGGAU
rnacentral:rRNA from 1 species